CAGUGCUGGGGUCUCAGGAGGCAGCGCUCUCUCGGGACGUCUCCACCAUGGCCUGGGCUCUGCUCCUCCUCAGCCUCCUCACUCAGGGCACAGGUGA
rnacentral:pre_miRNA from 1 species